ACAACGUGUGUUACUGUGUUUGGUGUUUUCACUAAAAUGCCUCACCUUUUCUUUUUUCGACCAAAUAGUCUCUUACUCAUGCUGGGACCCCAGUGCUAUCUCUGCUGACAAGAUUUUCUUUUUUUCCUCCAGCAGGACCAAUUGUUUCCUUAUUUGUGCCCCUACAGAAAUGUAUCUGAAUUUUUUACCUAGCAUUCUUUCAAAACAGAGGAAUGAACCCAGUUCUAAGGGUCCAGAGAAAUCACUGAAAUAGUCAUGAAGGGUAAUUUUCAAUGUAACAAGCACUUUGUCAUUCUUAUUAUGGUCCAGGCUUAUUGUGUUUACAAAUAUUAACUCAUUGACCCCACCUAGCAACUGAUGAGACAGGUACUGUUACUACUCCCACUCACCCGAUGAGAACACACGGAGGCACAGAGUUUGAGAUGCUCGAGGUCACACAUGGGCCAGGAUUUGAACCUUGGUGGUCCAAUUCGCCAGUCGAUGACCUUGUCGACUCCAGCGCUACAUCAUGUCCUUCUGAUGAAGGCCAGUCUUCAGGGCAUGUAUGACAGCAGAAUUUCAGGCGCACGGAAUCGUUUCAAAGCCACUAGUAAGGGAUUAGUCUCCUUGUUGCUCAUGAGCCCACACAGCCAUAGAAUGUAGCCACUAGGUUCCCUUUGAUCUGCAGCGCUGGCUCAGAGUCGCACAGGAUCUCUUUACUCAGGUAAAGCAGCAGCCAGAACACUGUGUUCUCAAGGGAACCUGGUGUCUCCCCGAGUGGAGGAGUUGGCCGGGUCUCAUGAUUUAUGAAGCCACAGGCUAAAUGGAACUCCAGUUGCUCGGCGACUAGGUGUUUCUAUACCCUAUGGUUGCCCAGGGCAUUUCCUAGGGGUGGAGCUCGGUAGUUGAAAGUCCACGGCUUGGGCAUGACUUUUUCCUUCCUGGGAAAAUGGGCUUUGAGACGGUUCAACAUGAUCCAGAAAGUGCAGGCUGUAUGUAAACCUGCAUCUUUUGGGGUAUGUUUUUUUCCCUGAUGGCAGUUCUUCAUGGUCAGUUACCUUUGUGACGAGGAAGAGCAGCUGUGCCUCUUUGACACUCCUCCAUUCGUUCUCUUGAAAGAAGGACUUCCGAGGAUCAGAGCCGGGCAGCCACUGUGGGGACCGAGCCUCUGCUUUAAACAUCCUCAGGACCCAGCGUGUGGGGCUCUCAGAAGAAUGUGUGAGCAACAUGAGUCAUUAAGUGGCAACAUUUCAUUACUGAAAUAAUGGAUAUAAUAUGUUACAUAACGUCAGGUUUUCCAAGCAUGUAGUAACUUCUCAGUGUGUAUAAUAUACUUCUCUUCAAAAACA